GACGAACGCUGGCGGCGUGCUUAACACAUGCAAGUCGAACGGUAAGGCCCUUCGGGGUACACGAGUGGCGAACGGGUGAGUAACGCGUGAGUAACCUGCCCUUCACUCUGGGAUAACAGUUGGAAACGGCUGCUAAUACCGGAUAUUCAGCUCCUGUCGCAUGGUGGGGGUUGGAAAGUUUUGGUGGUGGAGGAUGGGCUCGCGUCCUAUCAGCUUGUUGGUGGGGUGAUGGCCUACCAAGGCGUCGACGGGUAGCCGGCCUGAGAGGGUGACCGGCCACAUUGGGACUGAGAUACGGCCCAAACUCCUACGGGAGGCAGCAGUGGGGAAUAUUGCACAAUGGGCGGAAGCCUGAUGCAGCAACGCCGCGUGCGGGAUGACGGCCUUCGGGUUGUAAACCGCUUUCAGCAGGGACGAAGCGCAAGUGACGGUACCUGCAGAAGAAGCACCGGCUAACUACGUG
rnacentral:rRNA from 1 species